GAGGGUAUAGCUCAGUGGUAGCGUACAUGCUUAGCGUGCGCGAGGUCCUGGGUUCGAAACCCCAGUACCUCCA
rnacentral:tRNA from 1 species